CGUAGGCGAAUAAUUAAAAAUACAGUAAAAGACUGAAGAAGGACUUCUUUAAUCUGUGUUCACUGGUUAUUUUGUGUGCUAUGGGCGGUUUUAGAAUUCUUGAAGGAAGGGUAAAAUUGUUGAUAUAGGAAGACUUUCGAUAGCGAAGGCAUUUGCCGACAUGGUUCAGACGCUAGGUACUAAAGCUUGGGUAGAAAGAGGAUUAGAGACCUCGUAGUCCAUGCCUUAAACAAUGAGUGUUCAACGUCUUUUAAAACUGGAAUUCACUAUGAAUUUUUUAGGGUUAUUGGGGGUUUGAAGCUAACGCGCGAAACACCGCCUGGGGAAUGUGGCCGCAAGGUUAAACUCAAAGGAAUUGACGGAGGCUCAUACAAGG
rnacentral:rRNA from 1 species